rnacentral:lncRNA from 1 species
CGUCAAACUACAAAGCUGUUGUGUAUUUUAUCAGAGUUAUAUUAUAAGAUAUCGUCCCCACAUUUAUGGUGCCGUGACUAAUGGAACUACAAAAGCUUAAAUCAAGAAGAACGGGCAAUCGUAGUGCCGUUACCAGACUUUUACGAAAAUUUGCCGACGCAAAAGAAAGUUCUGAAUUCGACAGAGAGGAGCUGUUAGCCACAUACGAAAAUCUACAACAGAAGAAAAGAAGUUACUCGACACACUGAAUGAACAAAUUGAGAACGCAUCGGAAACAGAGGAUAUAGAGACGGAAAUCGUAGACACAGAUGAGUAUACUACAAAUUUUGUUACUAAACUGAGACAUUUUAAGAUAUUCAUAGAUAAAACAUCACAACCUAUUUCCAAUCAACCAUCACAUUCGUCUUAUCAAGUUUUAAAUGUAGACAGUCCACCGUUCAUCCCUACUAGUUCACCCGAAAUUGCACAGACAAGUUAUGCCGCCCCGUCAUUGCCACAGUCAAAUGAUGCCGCUCGAAUUUUAACAGAGACAAGCCAAAUUGCCACAUCAAUUCCCACGUCAAGCUAUACUGUCCCGUCCGCUAUAUCCAGCAAUCACCGUUUGCCAAAAUUAACUUUACCUACAUUUAAUGGCAAUAUAUUAGAAUGGCCGAGCUUUUGGGAUUCUUACGAAUCGGCAGUUCAUUACAACCCAACAUUGACAGAUGUUCAAAAGUUUAAUUAUUUGAAGGCCCAAUUAGAAAACGAAGCCGCUCAGACAAUUGCCGGAUUUUCUCUAACUAACGCUAACUAUGCCGAAGCCGUAAAUGUUCUGAUAGAGAGAUUUGGACAGACUCAUAAAAUAACACAAGCACACCUACAAGCACUGCUUGAUAUUACGCCACCCCCCGGAAUGACCUCAUAAGCCUGAGAAUGUUUUAUGACAAAAUGGAGAGUUUAGUUAGAGGACUUGAAUCGCUUGGACAGACACAGGACUCAUACGGUAAUUUAUUAGUCCCGAUUAUAAU